UACGUAGGUGGCAAGCGUUGUCCGGAUUUACUGGGCGUAAAGAGCGCGCAGGCGGUCGUUCAAGUCGCGUGUGAAAGCCCCCGGCUCAACUGGGGAGGGUCACGCGAUACUGAUCGACUGGAAGGCAGGAGAGGGUAGUGGAAUUCCCGGUGUAGUGGUGAAAUGCGUAGAUAUCGUUUGGAACGCCAAUGGUGAAAACAGGUUGCUGGGAGUGUGCUGACGCUGAGACACGAAAGCCAGGGGAGCAAACGGG
rnacentral:rRNA from 1 species